CAACAGGAGUCACUGUGCACCUGCUCCCUAUGUAGGACCUUUGUCCUUAAUGUGUUGUACUAUGUGAAUUAACGGUCAAACUACUACCCAAACAGUGAGCUAGGCCACAAGAAAUGUCAAGAACCCAUUGGAAAAGAAGAGCUACAAGAUAAGAUCCUUGAGGACGAAGGCCCUUGACUAGAGGAAGGGGUUGCAUCUGAAGAUGUGUUCCAGCAUCUCCUGACAACUGGCCCUCUACUCUAAGUGGAAUGGAUGCUAAUGUGUGAAUCGAGGGGGCAAAGGAGCCUCGGGACUGUCCGAGGCAUUAUGGUGCUUUGUUGGUCACAAGAGGAAAUGAUGAAAUCUUCCAGUUUUCAGUUAUCCAAGUACAAAAGUAUCUUUCUCGAGCAAAUCUGAAAGGUUCCAUUUCUUACAGAUUGUACAAGCCUACAGGGCUCCUGAAGAAAAUACCUGCUCUCUUUCCUUUGAAUCUCUACUGCUUUCCUUUUGCUCUAAGAACACCACAGAGAGAAACCAAAUGUGCCUAAUAAAUCUGCUACCAGCACAUGUUACAGUUCCAAUGGCGAUUCUUCUAUUCACAUUUUUCCAAGCCACUGGCACAAUUUUAUCCCUUUACUUUAAACAAGGCCCUCUUCCUAUACUCUUGAAAUCUAGGGCAUCCACUUUGGGCUUCCUUGUCUUCAAUCUGUUCCCAGUUCUCUCUCCUCCUUGUCACCAUUCUACCUACCCCACUGCCUACAAACUCCCAUAAGACUGCCAACAGCCUAACCUCUUAAUCAGGCCCUGCUCUUUCUCCACAACAAUUCAUCCCUCAUACUGCCUGACAUAUGAAUAUUAUUACAGCACCUUUGAUCAUUUCAUACACAUACAAGUUCCUUUUCAUUCAGUCCUCAUUACUUAAAAGAAGAAAUUAGCUCCGUACCUAAGGACUGAACCACACCUGACUCCAGAAUUGCAUCCCAUUCUUAUCUGAUAUACAGGCUUGCUCCAGGUGCACCCUAAACCUCCUUGCCUCUGCAGCAUUGUUUGUGCCCUUUCUGCCACCUAGGAUAUUCUCUCCCCCUUGUCAACUAGUCCAACACUCAUAACAACCUCAGGUCUAUGUGCCACUGAUGCUAGAGUGUAAAGUCAAAGGCUGGAAAGGGAAGCAUGCCUUCAGUUCAUAGAAACUGUUGUGGACCACAGGAGGGGCUAGCACUGAUCCCUAUGAUACUAGGAAGCUACUGAAGAUUUGCAGAGCAGUACAUGAUCCUAUUAGACUGUAGUAAAGUCUUACUGCAGCAUAUAGAUUAAGAGAUCAAGCUAUUGUGGAAAUACAGACAAAAGUGAUCUCCACUACCACAGUUCCACAAUGAUGUAAAAGAGUGGGCUGAAACUACAACUGGCAUAUGGACACCUGCAUCCCAUAUCAGAGAACCUGGUGCAAGUCCUAGCCACUCUCCUGCCAGCCCAGCUUCCUGAGAGGCAGCAGCUGAUGGCUCAAGUACUUGAAUCCAUGCUACCCAUGUAGGAGGCCCAGAUGGAGAUGUAGGCUACUGGCUUUGGCCUUGCCAAAUGUUGCAGGCAUUUGGAAAGUGAAUCAGCAGUUGUAGAAUCUGUGUUUCUAUCUCUCUCUCUUUCAAUUAAAAAAAUUUUAGAAGAAAGAAGUGGACUGAUUUGAGUGCUAUUAAGGAAGUAGAACCAACAGAAUUAGCCAUUUGAUGAAGCCAGGAGUGAAACACUCAUAUUUCUGGCUUGGAUAGAGUACCGCUUACUAAGACAGGAGAACAUGGGGCAGGAAUAGAUUGAAACAGGUUGCAUACAAUGUCAGAGGGAUUUUCAAGGCACAAUGUCCAAUUAGUUAACAAAUAAAAGAAGCUAAAAUUCAUGAGAACUACCUGGUCUUACUUUUUCAACCUGGGUAACACCAGCUAUAGGCAAAUGGUCAUCUAGUCACUAUAAAGAGAUUAAAUCUAUCCAGAACAAGUAUAUGGUGUGAGUACAGAUGAGGGCCAUGAUGACUAUCAAUAUUUCAAGGAUACCCAGGGGAGAAUUUUCAGAGAGAACACAGAAAUAAGAAAUCUCAGUUGUAGAAGAAACACCAAGAGUGAGUGAAAAGUGCAGGACGGAGAAAGAAUACCUACAAGAGAUU